AACGAACGCUGGCGGCAUGCCUAACACAUGCAAGUCGAACGAAACCUUCGGGUCUAGGGGCGCACGGGUGCGUAACGCGUGGGAACCUGCCCGUAGGUUCGGAAUCACUCCCCGAAAGGGGUGCUAAUGCAGGAUAAUGUCUUCGGACCAACGAUUUAUCGCCUUUGGGUGGGCGCGUGUUGGAUUAGUGAGUUGGUAGGGGAAAAGCCUACCAAGGCGACGAUCCAGAGCUGGUCGGAGAGGAUGACCAGCCACGCUGGGACUGAGACACGGACUAGACUGCUACGCGAGGCAGCAGUGGAGAAUAUUGGGCGAUGGGCGAAAGUGUGAUCCAGCAAUGCGGCGUGAGUGAUGAAGGCCUUAGGGUUGUAAAGCUCUUUGACCCGGGAUGAUAAUGACGGUACCGGGAGAAUAAGCACCGGCUAACUCCGUG
rnacentral:rRNA from 1 species